rnacentral:rRNA from 1 species
AGCGAACGCUGGCGGCAGGCUUAACACAUGCAAGUCGAACGCCCGGGCAACCGGGAGUGGCAGACGGGUGAGUAACGCGUGGGAACGUGCCCUUUGGUUCGGAAUAACUCAGGGAAACUUGAGCUAAUACCGGAUAAGCCCUACGGGGGAAAGAUUUAUCGCCGAAGGAUCGGCCCGCGUCCGAUUAGCUAGUUGGUGAGGUAACGGCUCACCAAGGCGACGAUCGGUAGCUGGUCUGAGAGGAUGAUCAGCCACACUGGGACUGAGACACGGCCCAGACUCCUACGGGAGGCAGCAGUGGGGAAUAUUGGACAAUGGGGGCAACCCUGAUCCAGCCAUGCCGCGUGAGUGAUGAAGGCCCUAGGGUUGUAAAGCUCUUUCGGCGGGGACGAUAAUGACGGUACCCGCAGAAGAAGCCCCGGCUAACUUCGUGCCAGCAGCCGCGGUAACAC